GUGCUCACUUUGACAACACAUACACUAAAACUGGAACAAUAGAGAAAAGGUUAGAUUGGACCCUGUGCAAGGAUAACAGAAAAAAAAAUAUUAAAAGCUCCAUACGUUU